AACGCCAUUAUUACACUAUAUA
rnacentral:miRNA from 1 species